GAAUCAGGAGGGAAGGUGGAGCCCACAAUCUUUGCAAACUCUCUGGGGAGCCAGGGGUUUUGGCAGAGUUCAAAGACUGGGAAGCAAAGUUCAGCCAUGUUGGGCCUUUGGGCUCAUAGAUGAGCAAGGGUACCCCAAUAUGAGGGCUCAGCAAAUUCUGGAACUUAUCAGUUCUGAAGACCUUUAGAGGAGAAGGAGACAAGUAAAAGGGUUGGCCUUGCGUAUUGGCAAUGAAACAGGCUAUUUUUGACAUUGAGUUGUCCAGCAUUCUCUAAGGUAUGUAGUCCUGGAGGGCGCUGCUUAAUGAACCAGAAGUCCUGCCUCUUAAGUACCUCACCAGCUCAAAUGUGUGCAUGUCACCUUGGCGUGAAUCGGAGCAGGCGCUGGUGGAUACCGUUUGGAGGCAUGCCAGCAAGGAGCUCCUUGUGUAGCCUGCCUCUGGAGCCUCAAGUUCAACUUCCAUAGGGCCAAAAGGGGAGUCGGGCUGGGCAGAAGCUCCUGAGAACCAAAGCAAAUGGUCUGAGAGUCUGAGAGUGUAGUGGAGGUAACGUGUUCGUGUCCUCUCUGGCUGCAUCACCCCAAGUCCUUGCAGACUCAAGUAGCCUAUUUGCAAGUUUAAAUAGUUUGAGUCCUGGCCGGUAACAAGAAUACUCUACAGUGGCCCAGAGUCAGGGAUAUAGAGUGGCGACUACUUGGCAGAACUGGAGCUUGCUCAGAUGAAAAGAUAAAUUGUACUGGUUAAACGAA
rnacentral:lncRNA from 1 species